rnacentral:rRNA from 1 species
AGGAAGGGUGCAAGCGUUAAUCGGAAUUACUGGGCGUAAAGCGCGCGUAGGUGGCAUGGUAAGUCGGAUGUUAAAGACCCACGGCUCACCCGGGGGAAUGCGUCCGAUACUGCCGUGCUAGAGUGCGGGAGAGGAAAGUGGAAUUCCUGGUGUAGCGGUGAAAUGCGUAGAUAUCAGGAGGAACACCGGUGGCGAAGGCGGCUUUCUGGCCCGUAACUGACACUGAGGCGCGAAAGCGUGGGGAGCGAACGG